rnacentral:lncRNA from 1 species
GCCGCCGCGGAGCGCGGGCGCCCUCGUGAGGCUGGGCUGCGUCGCCAGCGGCAGCGUGAAGCGGGCAGCCCGGUCUGCGCCGGGGCCUGGGCCUGGAGUCCGGUGUGGUCGGGCGUUCGACUCGCGCGACUCCCCGCCCGAGGGCCCACCGGGCUCCGGCUGGAAGCCGCCCAGGGUGCGGCAGCGAAACUUCGGCCCGGUUGCAACCACAGUGGCGUUUAGGCCGGACGCUCUUGCUCCCGUUUCACGGAGCGGUCGAAAUCCGUAGACGUUUCUAAUGCGUUCUACCGGUAGCCCAGCCCUCUUCGUCCUCAGCCUCUAUUCGUGCUCACUUUUCUCCCAGGCAGGUAGCUCCAGGGGCCUCCUGUCUCUCUCCUCCCCACCCUAUCCCGUUUUCCCUUGAGCAUCCCCUGCUGCUUGCCAGGUGUGCCUUUAGUGAGAACCCGAUCUUUCCAGCACUUUUUUUCCUGCUGGUGAAGACAAACCCACAUGCUUUUAGUUUUCAGGGUUUUGUUAUCGAUCAGUUUCAUCCAUAGGUAGUGCUUACAUAGCACGUGCUACGUGCCAGCCAUGAUGUUUAGUGGGUUUAUGUGCAUUAAUUCACCCAGUCUUUGGAACAGCUCUAAACUUAAUCUUAUUAUACUAUCACUAAUUUGCAAAUCAGAAAACUGAGAUCUGAGGCAAAUUAAGUAAAUUGACUAAAGUUAUACAGACAACACACUGCCUGAUCAUGAACUGAAUUAUCUUUAAAAUUAUUAUUGGUACAUAAUCAAAGCAAAGUAUCACAAAGUUUCAGAAUUAUUCAAUAGAACGUAACACUUCUGGGGAAAUGCAUCUCGCUGAAAUGGAUAUUGUUGCUUUUUAAAAUUCAUAAAUCUGUGAAUGAUUAUAUCUUAUUGCUGGGACGGGAAGGAUUGAGCAUCAAUACCACUCUUAAGUUUUAGUUUUUAUAACUGUAUGGCCUUAGAAACGGUGUAUAAACAAGUACUAUACCUGGUAAUCCUAAUCCUACUGUAGCAACGUUGUAACUGAGCAGGGUCCUGUGAGGCUCCUGGGCACACAAGCCUUUCUGUGUCCUUCAUUUCCCGUUUUUAAGGAAUAAGCUUCAGGCUCCAUGACCUUCCCUGAGCUCCAAAGGGCAGUUGAUAAUCAGGGCAGGAAAGGGAUGCAGAGAUCAGGGAGCAGCAGUCGAGAGACAAUAAUGCAGCCUUGGGGCAGGGCCCUGGUUCCUCCUCAAGGAAUAUACAUAACAAUGUCUUGGAGCCUUUUUGCAGAACUAAAAUCCCCAACCAAGGGAAGAACUGCUUGAUGAAGGAGGACCUCCAGAACCAGUCCUGGGCUGCUAAUUAUUUCUCAGCUUUGAUCCUUAUCUGCAGCCUUAUUUUCCACUCCCCAAAGUAUAAAACCACCCCCUAAUCUCUCCCAAGGAGGGCACAGUCUUUAAGGCAUUGGUCUGCUGUGCCCUCCUUUACCUGGCAAAGCAAUAAAGCUCUCUUUUUCUCCUUCACCUAAAACUCUGUCUCCAUUUCUCUCCACACCAGUCCCCCUAUAGGUUAGCAGAGGAUUGGAGGAAUCUUUUAGAGGCCAGACUGCUGAGAGUUUCCUGCCAUGGGGCCGGCCCUGAGCAGAGCUGACUGGCCAUCUUGGAAGUUGGAACUCCAGGGUGGAAGAGUGGUUGGUAGGCAGCUCUCACUGGCCUUGGGGGGACUCCUUCCUUUCCCUCUGCUCCUGCCGACCAGAACUUCCCACUUCAAGAAGACUUUUUGGGAAGAGGAAAAGUAGCAUCUGUGAUUUCGAGACACCUCUGCCAGCAUCUGGAUGGGAUUCAGAAUUGGGAAGGCAAAGUAAUCAUACCGAUAAAAAGAGGGAGGAUUUUGGACCUCCAUGAAGAUACUGAAGUGGGGGGGGGGCAGGGAGAGAGGGUGUUUAUCUGCUUGCCUGGCUGGCACCGUUGCUGUCAUCGUUUCCUUACAUCUUCACCACGACAAGACUGUGUCGUUCGAGCCAUCUUGAGAAGGAGAAGAUGAAAGCUGGGAGGCCGUGAACAUCUCGCCCAGAUUUAUGUUGCUGCAAAAAGAAUUGAAAUUGGGAGGCAGAUUGCAUCCAAAGCUGGAAUAUUUCCAUGUGCUCUUCCCUACACCAUCCUAAAGACGUGGAAGGCAGGGCCUCCCCUCCCUUCCGUGCACCUUCUUGCCCCCGCCCCUGUGGUCUCUGUAUCUGCACUAAGAUGAAUGUGCUCUGGCCUCUCCCACCUCACACAGAGCAAGGAGAAAAGGCAACAGCCUCAAAUCUGCCCAAUAUUCCACGGAAGCUGGUCUUUCUUCUACAUGGACAGUGAUUCCCUUUGAAAAGGCAGCAACAUUGAACUGCCCCAGCUUCCUGGCUAUGCCCACCGAUGAAGGUGACAAUCACGAUGCAGAAAUGGACAGUGGGGAGCGUUGGAUGGAAUAAUUACAAUAGUGAACAAAGAACAGCGGUGAAGACAUUUUACCCAAACAUCUUACUUGCUGUUGGAAGUCUGGCUUGACCCAAUGUGAGGCCCUCUUCUCCAUUCCAGAUCCAGGACACCAUUCCCUGAAGGAGCCAUCAGGGGCCUGUGGGAUAGAGGCCAUUGCCGGGGAUGCCCUGAUAGAGGUCCUUCAACAAAUAACAAGUAAGAGGCUGCAGUUUCUGCAACGAGAGAUGAUGGGGCUGAAAUGUCAGCAGGACAGACCAGGAUGGAAGAUCAAUCACGGAGCGGUUCCCCAUGCUGUGAGCUCCCCCAGGCAAAGGCUGUACCUUUUGUUUUCCUCAGCACCUCUCUUAGAACCCAGAACAAUGUCCAGAGGAGAACAGGCAUUCAGACCCUAUUUCCAUCUCUAUUCUGGGACCAUGUGGAAUCAGAGAUAAAUUAGACCACAUCUUUGUCCUAGGAGUUCACAGUCAAGCUGAGGCGGACAGACUGACAAAUUGAUAAAUGCUUCAACAUUGUCUUCUCUUAUUCAGGCCAAACGUCAUUAGCUGAUCCUCAGAUUCCCUCCCUGAACAGGAAAGCACAGAUCGGAUAGCACGGUGCCAGGCGGGGACCGACCCAUGCUGAACAAGCUCGAAGGUCAUUUCUCUCAUGUAUGUUUAUAAGGAAAACACUGAUCCUCUGAGUAUGUUUCCCUUGUUCACACAGAGGCUCCAAGAAGGUCAAAUAAGUCUCAGAUGAUGCUUAACGAGUACAAAGCCCGAACGAAGUGGCUGGAUGUCCAUUAGGAACAGCACUGUUUCCCUUUUCUGCUCUGGGAAGGAAUCCAACAGGUACUUCCCCUGGGUCAAGCCCUAAUGGCAAAUUUUUCAGCAAAAGAGGAGGUUUUUUUCAAAUUUCUUGUCCAGAUUGCUGAGCUCUUAUCAUAUCGACAGGUUCCCAAAUGGACAGAAAGACUUAGAAAUUCCAGAGUAAUUAUCUUGCUUGAGUGUAGCUAAUAUUGAAAAUGGAAACUUUUCUCAUGGAUUUUUAAAAAUAAUAUCUUAUCAUUCACCCUUCAUUAGGUGUGAAUAACUACUGGCAGGAUGUAUUUUAGCAGAAUGAAUGUUAUCUAGUAAGGUAUCCAGAAAAAGCUGAUGUCACAUGCACACUUGCCUUAACCUCCCACUCUUUCCCCCAGUAUCACCUAUCACAGGCAUUGAGGCUCCAACCAAACUGCUGAUGCUCUUCCCUUAGCUUAGAGUACUUUUCCCAGUGCUGCUUGUUCAAAUCUACUUUUCCAUCAAGAGUAACCUCAAAUUCCACUAUUUCUAAGGAGACUUCUCUCUUUCUCCAGUGAAGAAGGGAUAAUUUCUUCUUUCUUCACAGGUCCUUAAUUAUUCUUCCUAAGCCUCUCUUAAAACACUUAGAUGUCUCAGCUGUCCUAAAAAUCUGAGUUUCUUGAGGCCAGGACUUGCAUCUUAACGUCUUGGUAUCUUUCAUCCUUGGAAGGCAAUAUAGCAUACGGUCACGGGAUCAGGAUCCUGGGUACAAACUGGGUGCUACUACUAACCAGCUGUGUGAUUGUAGGCAAUUCCUGGCAUAUUGUAAUCACUCAACAAAUGUCCCCAUUUACUAUUUAUAUUCUUCAUAACACACAGGACAAUACAUAGUAUCCAUUCUCAGCUCAGUCAAUGUUUACUGAAUGAAUAAAUGAGAAAGCAAAUGAAAAGUAGUUUGUUGUUGAGUGUUUGUUAAGGGAAUGAAUAAUUUAAUAGAUUUGGAAGAAAAUUUGUCAAACAUACUGCUUUUCACUGAACCAAAACAUAUUUCUACAAAUGUUAUGCUUAACCUUCUCCUGGGUCUCUCCUCAAUUCAUUAUUCCUUGAAGCACCCUUCCCUUAGAACCAUCUACCCAUAAACUUAUAUAAUAUUUUAUUUUUGUUUCUUUUAAGAGUGACUACUUUAUGCUAAAGAGCUGCAUUAAGCUUUUGCAGAUUGAAAGAAGAGGAUUUCUUUACUUGUCUGUAGAUCAGGCUGGUUUUCUAUGAGCAGGCAGAGGGAUCUUUGCUACAUUUAUAAUCAUAUAUUUUCUGAGUAGACAAGAUCCAGACGAAAUUCAGGAAGGUUCCUAGGUAUCAUGGCUCUUUUAACUAUAUGAGUCAGCAAUCCCACUCCUGCACAUCUAUUUGAAGAAAACCAUAAUUUGAAAAGAUACAUACACCCUAAUGUUCAUUGCAGCACUAUUUACAAUAGCCAAGAUGUGGGAGCAACCUAAAUGUCCAUUGACAGAGGAAUGGAUAAAGAAGGUGUGGUACACAUAUACAAUGGAAUAUCAGCCAUGAAAAAGAAUGAAACAAUGUCAUUUGCAGCAACAUGGAAGGGCAUAGAGAUUUUCAUACUAAAUGAAGUCAGUCAGACCGUGAAAGACAAACAUCAUAUGAUAUCACUUAUAUGUAGAAUCUAAGAGAAAUAUACAAAUGAACUUAUUUGCAGAACAGAAACAGGUCACAGACUUUGAAAACAAACUUAUGGUUACCAAAGGAGAUGGGUAGGGGGGAGGGAUGGACUGGGGUUUGGGACUGGUGUAUGCCCACUGUUGUAUGUGGAAUGACUGGCCAAUGGGGACCUGCUGAAUAGCACAGAGAACUCUACCCAAUAUUCUGUGAUAAUCUAUAUGAGAAAAGAAUCUGAAAGAGAAUGGAUGUGUGUAUAUUUAUAACUCAAUCACUUUGUUGUACAGCAGAGAUUAUCACAACAUUGUAAAUCAAAUAUACUUCAAU